rnacentral:rRNA from 1 species
GACAAACGCUGGCGGCGUACCUAAGACAUGCAAGUCGAACGGGGCUCCGUCUUCGGAUGGAGUCGAGUGGCGGACGGGUGAGUAACGCGUAGGAACCUGUCAUCCAGUGGGGGAUAACGCUGGGAAACUGGCGCUAAUACCGCAUGUGGUCGCAGAAGGAGACUUCUGUGAAGAAAGGCGUAAGUUGCUGGAUGAGGGGCCUGCGUCCGAUUAGCUUGUUGGUGGGGUAACGGCCUACCAAGGCGACGAUCGGUAGCUGGUCUGAGAGGGCGACCGGCCACACUGGGACUGAGACACGGCCCAGACUCCUACGGGAGGCAGCAGUGGGGAAUCUUGCGCAAUGGGCGAAAGCCUGACGCAGCGACGCCGCGUGGGGAUGACGGCCU